GCUGAGUCAGGGAAAUGGACUCCGUCUCACUCCAUGGAGAAGCUGCUUAGGUUACCACUUCCCCACCACAGAUUCUCAUGGGCUCUGGUGGUUUCUGGUGCAGGAACUGAGAGGCCCUUCCGUGUUCUACCUGGAGGUAUGGCUGGCAGAUGUGACCUUUGAGGCAGACUGAGCCAUAAUUCCAGGACUGGAGUGGAUGAGCCUGUCCCUGUUGAUGGUGGACAUAGUGGACUCUGGGAUCCAAGUCAAAAUCACAAUUUUUGGACAACUCUGUGUAUGGAAUCGGGUAAAGUGCAUGUUCCUGUGCUUGACAUGGCUUCACCAACAAUCAUGCUUAAGCUGAGAAAAUAAAACACAUUGAGGAGAAUUUGAAGGCCUCUACAGUCCUCAGCAUCCUGUUGCU
rnacentral:lncRNA from 1 species